rfam:Canis lupus familiaris chromosome 15, whole genome shotgun sequence.
GCCUGGCUGGCUCAGUUGGCAGAGCAUGAGACUCAUGAUUUCAGGGUUGUGGGUUUGAGCCCCAUAUUGGGUG